GUGUCUCGUACCCACACGCGAACAUCACGCUCCGAUUUAUUAAAUCAAAACCCGUGGAAAAAUGGCAUACAAAGCCCUCGAAAGUGUUGUGCAAGGAUUAGUAGGUACCGUAGCAUCACUUACGACUAAAGUUAGUGCAUUGGAAACAUUAAUUUGUGACCAAAAUGCCCUAAUAAAAACCCAGUCACUCGCAAUUAACCAACUUGUUUUGCAAAGUACCUCCAAAACAUCGAGCACCACGCAAUCAGCAGCGGCUACAGCGCCGCCGCAGCAAACAACGCGCCCAACACGCAAAAAAGCUACACCCACGAUUAGCGCUGCAGCCGCUGUCCGUGUUGGAAACCGAACAGCCAAUGCUAGCCCGGCGCUCACUUCACGUAAAACGACUUUGUCCGAAGACUGCCGACAAACACCGAUCGCCACUCCACCAACGACGCCCUCAACACCAAUAACGGCCAUUACUAAUAACCUCGACAACGUCCCAAAUGAAAAACCGAAUAAUAACGAAAAAUGGACUACGGUCAGCCGACGCAAACGGAAGCCAUCAAUUGCUGCCAUCCAGGGCUCGGCACAAAAUACGACCAUCAAAGGAGUUGAUGUUCACAAACAUCUCCACGGUUGCUUCUUCAAGAAAUCGACGAAACCAGAGGAUGUAAUUGAACACCUCCGUGGAAUCCACGCAGAAGGAUGGUGCUGAUAUCCUGUGCCUAACUGAACACUGGCUUGAAACCUACCAACUACGUCAAGUGAACAUACUUAACUUGAAGCUAUGCGCCCAGUACUGCCGACCGUCCAGGGAAGGAGGGGGAGCAUGCAUCUACUCCAGGCCUUCACUGCUUACAAUCGAGCGAAAGGAGGUCGCUGAACUCUCCGUUGAAAUGCAUUUUGAAGUCUGCGCGGCUGAAUGUGUCGGUUUGGACCUGAUAGUG